UCACAGGCAGGUCACGAUGCCAUUUGGGUAAUUGUAGACAGAUUGACCAAAUCUGCCCACUUUAUUCCAAUCCAUACAGUUUGGUCGGGGGAGAGACUUGCACAAGUGUACCUUGAUGAAAUUGUGCGAUUACACAGAGUACCAGCUUCUAUUGUUUUAGAUCGAGACAUCCGCUUCGUUUCACAUUUUUGGAGAAGUUUACAAGAGGCCAUGGGUACCCGAUUGGAUUUCAGUACUGCUUUCUACCCCCAAAGUGAUGGGCAGUCCGAGCGUACCAUCCAUACCAUUGAGGAUAUGUUGCGGGCCUGCGUGAUUGAUUUUCAGGGCAGUUGGCCACAGUUCUUGCCUAUGGCAGAAUUUGCUUAUAACAAUAGUUAUCAAGCAAGUAUUCAAAUGGCACCGUUUGAAGCUCUUUAUGGGUAGGAAGUGCAGAUCACCACUUCAUUGGAGUGAAGUGGGGGAAAGAUUAGUUUUGGGUCCAGAUAUGUUGCAAGAAGCUGAAGCUAAAGUUCGACUUGCACGAGAACGUUUGUUGACCGCUCAAAGCCGACAAAGGAGCUAUGCGGAUAAACGUCGGCGAGAACUGAAAUUUCACGUUGGCGAUCAUGUAUUCCUAAAAGUUUCACCGACAAAAGGAGUUAAGAGAUUUGGAAUUCGUGGAAAGCUGAGUCCUCGGUUUAUUGGACCCUACGAAGUGUUGGAGCGGAUAGGCCCCGUAGCGUAUUGGCUUGCUUUGCCGCCGAACCUAUCGGAAGUGCAUAAUGUGUUUCAUGUAUCUACACUGCGGAGUUUGUUUUUGAUCCGACCCACAUAUUGGAAAGUACUCCAGUGGAAUUACGAGAAGAUUUGAGCUUUGAGUAGCAUCCAGUAAGAAUACUAGCUCGAGAGGUGAAACGGCUUCGAAACCGUGAGAUACCCUACGUAAAGAUCCGUUGGAGCAAUCAUGAUGAACGGAAAGCUACUUGGGAACUGGAAAGUGCAAUGCAAGAGCACUAUCCCUAUCUUUUCUCGACAAAAUUUUGAGCACGACUCCUGGACCCUUGUAGAUGCUGUUAGAGCUCAGAGAAGGGCUUCUUCACCUCCUCCACUUUCUCUCUCUAGGGUUUCUCUCUCUUCGAUUGGAGAUCGCCGAAUCGAGCUUAUUUCGUGUCGCGUUCGUUGCUCGCUGGUUUGGAAACGCAAGGGAGGUCUUUGGGUUGUGGGGAGAAGUAUUUUUACUGAGUUUCUGUGAGGUUCUCACCAGGGAAAGCUGAUUCUCAGCUUUGGAGAGAGGCUGUUUUCAGCAGUAAAAAAAGAGUUAUUUUGGCUAUGAAUUAUCAGUGAAAAGUUGCUUUAAGGCUGGACUAAGCAGAUUCUUGACCCACUUUGAGCUGAACCUGGGCUCUUAGAAGUUGGUUUGGAGGAUAUUUUAACCAAGGCGAGAGUGCUACCGACCUUGGGAUGACCUUCAGUUGGCAUUGGAGAGCAAUUAGAGGCUUAACUUGAGGCUGAGGCUUGAUUGAGCUGAAUUUCGGGACUCUUGUGGACUGAUUUGAGCCUAGUAAUAGAGCCAUUUACCGGAGAGGCUAGGGAUCGUGGCAAGGAAGU